CCCUUAGAUGUUCUGGGCCGCACGCGCGCUACACUGACGAAUGCAACGAGCUUAUAACCUUGGCCGAAAGGUCUGGGUAAUCUCCAAAUUUCGUCGUGAUGGGGAUAGAUUAUUGCAAUUAUUAAUCUUCAACGAGGAAUGCCUAGUAAGCGCAAGUCAUCAGCUUGCGUUGAUUACGUCCCUGCCCUUUGUACACACCGCCCGUCGCUCCUACCGAUUGAAUGGACCGGUGAAGCGUUCGGACCGUGGCCUUUGGACGGUUCGCCGUCUGUUGGCUGCGGGAAGUUCGUUAAACCUUAUCAUUUAGAGGAAGGAGAAGUCGUAACA
rnacentral:rRNA from 1 species